rnacentral:rRNA from 1 species
UACGGAGGGUGCAAGCGUUAAUCGGAAUUACUGGGCGUAAAGCGCACGCAGGUGGCUGAGUCAGUCGAUUGUGAAAGCCCUGGGCUUAACCUGGGAAUUGCAGUCGAUACUACUCAGCUAGAGUAUGGGAGAGGGUAGUGGAAGUUCCCGGUGUAGCGGUGAAAUGCGGUAGAUAUCGGGAGGAACAUCAGUGGCGAAGGCGGCUACCUGGCCCA